rnacentral:rRNA from 1 species
GAUGAACGCUGGCGGCGUGCCUAAUACAUGCAAGUCGAGCGAACAGACGAGGAGCUUGCUCCUCUGACGUUAGCGGCGGACGGGUGAGUAACACGUGGAUAACCUACCUAUAAGACUGGGAUAACUUCGGGAAACCGGAGCUAAUACCGGAUAAUAUAUUGAACCGCAUGGUUCAAUAGUGAAAGACGGUUUUGCUGUCACUUAUAGAUGGAUCCGCGCCGCAUUAGCUAGUUGGUAAGGUAACGGCUUACCAAGGCAACGAUGCGUAGCCGACCUGAGAGGGGUGUUCGCCCAACCUGAACUUGAGACCCGGCCCAGCCCCCUACGGGAGGCACCGGUAGGGAAUCUUCCGCAAUGGGCGAAGCCUUGCCGGAGCAACGCGGCGGGGGUGAUGAAGUUCUCCGAAUCGUAAACUCUGUUAUUAGGGAAGAACAAAUGUGUAAGUAACUAUGCACGUCUUGACGGUACCUAAUCAGAAAGCCACGGCUAACUACGUG